rnacentral:rRNA from 1 species
UGGGGGAUAUUGCACAAUGGGCGAAAGCCUGAUGCAGCGACGCCGCGUGGGGGAUGAAGGCCUUCGGGUUGUAAACUUCUUUUGCUCUGAACAAGGCGCACCAUGGGGUGUGUUGAGUGUAGGGGUUGAUUAGCGCCGGCUAACUACGUGCCAGCAGCCGCGGUAAUACGUAGGGCGCGAGCGUUGUCCGGAAUUAUUGGGCGUAAAGGGCUUGUAGGUGGCUGGUUGCGUCUGUCGUGAAAGCUCAUGGCUUAACUGUGGGUUUGCGGUGGGUACGGGCUGGCUUGAGUGCAGUAGGGGAGGCUGGAAUUCCUGGUGUAGCGGAGGAAUGCGCAGAUAUCAGGAGGAAUACCGGUGGCGAAGGCGGUUCUCUGGGCUGUUACUGACACUGAGGAGCGAAAGCAUGGGGAGCGAACAGG